CCAAUGGCCCUCUUUAGGGCCACAUUUGAGGCCGAAUAGUGAACUUU
rfam:Angiostrongylus cantonensis strain Taiwan genome assembly, scaffold: ACAC_contig0008590